rnacentral:rRNA from 1 species
UACAGAGGUCCCAAGCGUUGUUCGGAUUUACUGGGCGUAAAGGGUGCGUAGGUGGUGAGGUAAGUCUGAUGUGAAAUCUCCGAGCUCAACUCGGAAAUGGCAUUGGAAACUACCUUGCUAGAGGGUUGGAGGGGGGACUGGAAUACUUGGUGUAGCGGUGGAAUGCGUAGAGAUCCGGAGGAAGACCGGUGGCGAAGGCAGAUCACUAAUAAUUUACUGACGCUGAUGGACGAAAGCGUAGGUAGCGAACAGG